GAUGAACGCUGGCGGCGUGCCUAAUACAUGCAAGUCGAGCGAACAGACGAUGAGCUUGCUCCUCUGACGUUAGCCGCGGACGGGUGAGUAACACGUGGAUAAUCUACCUAUAAGACUGGGAUAACUUCGGGAAACCGGAGCUAAUACCGUAUAAUAUAUUGAACCGCAUGGUUCAAUAGUGAAAGACGGUUUUGCUGUCACUUAUAGAUGGAUCCGCGCCGCAUUAGCUAGUUGGUAAGGUAAAGGCUUACCACGGCAACGAUGCGUAGCCGACCUGAGAGGGUGAUAGGCCACACGGGAGCUGAGACACGGUCCAGACUCCUACGGGAGGCAGCAGUAGGGAAUCUUCCGCAGUGGGCGAAAGCUUGACGGAGCAACGCGGCGUGAGUGAUGAAGGUCUUCGGAUCGUAAAACUCUGUUAUUAGGGAAGAACAAAUGUGUAAGUAACUAUGCACGUCUUGACGGUACCUAAUCAGAAAGCCACGGCUAACUACGUG
rnacentral:rRNA from 1 species